rnacentral:rRNA from 1 species
GACGAACGCUGGCGGCGCGCCUAACACAUGCAAGUCGAACGAGAGAUGAGGAGCUUGCUCUUCAGAUCGAGUGGCGAACGGGUGAGUAACGCGUGAGGAACCUGCCUCAAAGAGGGGGACAAUAGUUGGAAACGACUGCUAAUACCGCAUAAGCCCACGGCUCGGCAUCGAGCAGAGGGAAAAGGAGCAAUCCGCUUUGAGAUGGCCUCGCGUCCGAUUAGCUAGUUGGUGAGGUAACGGCCCACCAAGGCGACGAUCGGUAGCCGGACUGAGAGGUUGAACGGCCACAUUGGGACUGAGACACGGCCCAGACUCCUACGGGAGGCAGCAGUGGGGAAUAUUGCACAAUGGGGGAAACCCUGAUGCAGCGACGCCGCGUGGAGGAAGAAGGUCUUCGGAUUGUAAACUCCUGUUGUUGAGGAAGAUAAUGACGGUACUCAACAAGGAAGUGACGGCUAACUACGUG